GGUUUAGUAUAGGCUAUAAUAUAGAGCAUGAUACUUUGAAGAAUAAGAGGUUUAAAUUAUAAUUUCACCGGCAAAUUUAUAGAAGUCAAAUUCUCGCUUUUGUUUCAAUUUGCUGUAACUCAAGAUAUUGAAUGUCAAUAUGACACUUAAGUGGACAGUUGUAUACUGGAAUCUUCUUAGACGGAGAGCUGCAGCUACAUGACUCGUUGCACGAAAAAUUUUACCUGGAAAUGGAUUGUUGUCGAUGAAACAACGCUAAAUUUUUCCUUAGAUAUUCAACAAAGACCCACAAAUACAUGACAAACAUUGUCAGAAAACUAGGUGGAAGAUGCAAAAAACACGCAAAAUUUGCUUAUUAAAAAGUACUUUGACAAGAUAUCCUUCACGUAUACAGGGUGUAACAAAAUUACCGGACAAACUAUAUGCCAAGCCAUUCCUCAUCCAAUGCUAAGUAAAAAAUGUUAAAUGAUUUUUUUUCGAUUACUUUGUUAUUUCGCCCAAUUUUUCCUCGAAAUUUAACAUACACAAUGUACUAAUUGUCUUACAAAAAACUAACCUCCGUUUCAUCCUAAUACAAUUUUGUUAACGUCAUUUUA